UACCAGCACCCCGAGUGGUCGGGGCGAUUAUUGGGCGUAAAGCGCUCGCAGGUGGUUCGUUGCGUCGUGCGUGAAAGCCCCCGGCUCAACUGGGGAGGGUCGUGCGAUACGGGCGAACUGGAGGCCAGUAGGGGGAUGCGGAAUUCCGGGUGUAGUGGUGGAAUGCGUAGAGAUCCGGAGGAACACCAGCGGCGAAGGCGGCAUCCUGGACUGGUCCUGACACUCAUGAGCGAAAGCGUGGGGAGCGAUCCGG
rnacentral:rRNA from 1 species